CCCAGACUCCUACGGGAGGCAGCAGUGGGGGAUAUUGGACAAUGGGGGGAACCCUGAUCCAGCGACGCCGCGUGAGUGAAGAAGUAUUUCGGUAUGUAAAGCUCUGUCAGCAGGGAAGAAAGAAAUGACGGUACCUGACCAAGAAGCCCCGGCUAACUACGUGCCAGCAGCCGCGGUAAUACGUAGGGGGCAAGCGUUAUCCGGAAUUACUGGGUGUAAAGGGAGCGUAGACGGUUAAGUAAGUCUGGAGUGAAAUGCCGGGGCCCAACCCCGGGACUGCUCUGGAAACUAUUUAACUUGAGUGCAGGAGAGGUAAGCGGAAUUCCUAGUGUAGCGGUGAAAUGCGUAGAUAUUAGGAGGAACACCAGUGGCGAAGGCGGCUUACUGGACUGUAACUGACGUUGAGGCUCGAAAGCGUGGGGAGCAAACAGGAUUAGAUACCCUUGUA
rnacentral:rRNA from 1 species